CAACAGGGAUUGCCUUAGUAACGGCGAGCGAAGCGGCAAUUGCUCAGAUUUGAAAUCUGGUCCUUUUAGGAUCCGAGUUGUAAUCUGUAGGGGAUGCUUCGGAGUUGAACCCGGCCUAAGUUCCUUGGAACAGGACGUCGCAGAGGGUGAGAAUCCCGUACGCGGCCGGUGGGCGACUCCAUGUGAAGCUCCUCCGACGAGUCGAGUUGUUUGGGAAUGCAGCUCUAAAUGGGAGGUAAAUUUCUUCUAAAGCUAAAUACCGGCCAGAGACCGAUAGCGCACAAGUAGAGUGAUCGAAAGAUGAAAAGCACUUUGGAAAGAGAGUUAAAAAGUACGUGAAAUUGUUGAAAGGGAAGCGCUUGCAACCAGACUCGACUGCUGUGGAUCAACCCUCCCCGUGGAGGGCUUACUCUGCUGCGGUCGGGCCAGCAUCGGUUCGGGCGGUCGUUUAAAGGCGUUGGGAAUGUAGCUCCUCCCGGGGAGCAUUAUAGCCCUUCGUGCAAUGCGGCCUGCCUGGACCGAGGACCGCGCUUCGGCAAGGAUGCUGGCUUAAUGGUUGUAAGCGGCCCGUCUUGAAACACGGACCAAGGAGUCUAACAUCUAUGCGAGUGUUCGGGUGUCAAACCCCUACGCGCAAUGAAAGUGAACGGAGGUCGGAGCCUUUGGGCGCACGAUCGACCGAUCCUGAUGUCUUCGGAUGGAUUUGAGUAAGAGCAUAAAUGUUGGGACCCGAAAGAUGUGCGAACUAUGCUUGAGUAGGCCGAAGCCAGCGGAAACGCUGGUGGAGGGUCGCAGCGGUUCUGACGUGCAAAUCGAUCGUCAAACUUGAGUAUAGGGCGAAAGACUAAUCGAGCCAU
rnacentral:rRNA from 1 species